UACGUAGGUGGCAAGCGUUAUCCGGAUUUACUGGGUGUAAAGGGCGUGUAGGCGGGGACGCAAGUCAGAUGUGAAAACCACGGGCUCAACCUGUGGCCUGCAUUUGAAACUGUGUUUCUUGAGUACUGGAGAGGCAGACGGAAUUCCUAGUGUAGCGGUGAAAUGCGUAGAUAUUAGGAGGAACACCAGUGGCGAAGGCGGCCUACUGGACGGUGACUGACGCUGAGGCUCGAAAGCGUGGGGAGCAAACAGG
rnacentral:rRNA from 1 species